AUUGAGUUGACAAACAUGGAGAGGAAUUAAAAAGACAAGAGAGAGAGAAUUAGGAGACAUGUAAUCCGUUAUUAGGUAAGUACCAUUGAUUAUUUCAGUAUAUAUGGCUAUACCAUUUUCAUAUAGGUAAUUAAACACAAUAAUGCCCCUUACUUUUCAUAUAUAUAUAAAUAAAGGACAUAUUAUUCUGAAGACAGGGAGAGCAAUCUAAUACUACUUAUACCCGAGUAUAGCUUGAAAGCUGACAAGUUCAUAGCUAUUUUCUGGAAUUGUAAGAUACUUAACUAUUUUAGCCACAUAUGCCACAGGAUAUCCGUCGCAGUUUUUAGCUUCUAUCACGAGAAUAUAUGACCAUAAUAUAGUUCCAAUAAUAGCACGGGGUGCUAAACCACUCACUACACGAGUGAAAACUAAAUUGUCAUUUUCUUUCUUGUUAUGUUCAUCCACUGCUAUCUUUCCAGCUUCUAUCACGUUUGGGCUAUGGACAUCCUUAAUCAGGUCAUGAGUAUUUGGAAGUACUUGUACACAACUCAUGAUAUUUGGAUCGUUUGAUAUGGUUAAUUAGAGAAGAUAUUAGUAGGGUUUUGAUUUUAGAGUUUGGUAUUUAUAGUUGUGAUUCAACGCUCUUGCAACGUUAAAAUUGUCUAAUUUGAUAGAAUGGAAUCUUGCAAUUAGACACAUUAUUACAUGUGAAUUAAAAGAAGAGACGAUUGAUAUUCAUCAUCUUUACGCUAAGAGAUAACUUUGAAUCAAAUUCCUCUUUUGGGUUCAUGGGUUAUGUUAUCUUAGUCAAACAAUAAUGCACCUUUUUGUGAUUUAGCUACGGAUUUUUGGAUAAUUGUUUUAAAUGGUAAAGUUGCUGCAAAUAUUUUCAAAUAUGGCAAAAUGUCACUUAUCAACAAAAUGACAAUUCAGUUAUCUCUAUUUGAGCUCAUAGUUAGGCGCUAAAUCAUAAAGAAUAGAAGAUUUUGUGUUCAUAUGAGUAUACUAUGUUAUCUUUGGUUACUCCCAUUUCUUUUAUUUAUUUCUUUGUUUAUUUUAUUUAUUUGAUUAUUUGAUUACUCAGUUUAUACCAAAUAUUAAAUGAAACAUUCAAACAAUCUCAGUGCAUCCAAUAUCUUGUAGCAAAAUUAAUCUCAUCAAUAUCAAUGAGUAAUUUCAAAUCAAAUCAAGUAUCUAUGACUUGGCUGCAAUGGAAUGUGGACACAACCACAUAUGGGUACCGCUACACCUAAUUAUUUAUGUUUUUGUAUUGGUACUACAUGUAGAAGAAAGAAGAUACAAAAAUUAGAACCAUAGAGAAACUUUAAGGUGUUAGUUUUAAAAUUCAAAAAACCAAAACUUUGAUGAAAAACAUUGUGUAACCCAAUUUGGAGGCCAAAACGGACGUUUUUGGGAUGUGUCGAGUCUUGUAGCCCACUUGGAAUGCACCUUGCUCUGAUUCACCCAAGAAAUAACCUUCUCGCCUUCUCUUGAUCAAAACGCAAACUUCCUUGAAUCUAAAUUGCACAACAGCCCCCAUUCACAAACUAGACUCAUUUUCUGAACUUUCAAGACUAAUUUGUAUAAUUUUGCGUGAGUAAGUUGUGACAAAUUGAUUGCUAAAUUAGUUGUAGGUUUUAGUACUGAAUUCCAAUUUGAAGUGUUGUUAGGAUUUAAAAUUGAAGUUGUGUUUGAAUUUGAGAUUGAAGUUGAGUUCGAAUUCCAAUUUGAAUUUAGGAAUUAUAUUGAAUUCGACGAGGAUUAUAUUGAAUGGGGGGGGGGGGGGUUAUAUAUUGUAGAUUGUAGAUGACGUUGCCUCUAAAUAAUUUAUAUGUGGAUGAAUGUUGUUAGUGAAUGUUAUUGUUGGUAAAUUUUAGUUAAAUUUUGGUUGAAAAGUGUUGCUUUUAUAAUUUAUAGUUAGUUUAUGGUUGAAUUGGAUUUAUAUUUGAUUUUGUAGUUAGGAGUGGUUGAAUAAGAGUUAGUUUAGGGAUUAAUGUUGUUGAAUUUUGUUAUUGUUGUAAGAUGUUGUAUCAAUAUUUGUUGUUUAACUUGUUACUAAGACUACUAGUUAGUUGAUAAGUUAUUGGUUUUGUUUAGUAAUAAACUUCUCCAAGUUAUAAGCUUUUUAGUUCUUUCGUUCAUGUCUAUCAUUUAUCUUUCGAGCUUUAUAUCUCCAUCAAUACUAACUCAUUUUAUGCAUAUGACCACUUGAUUAGAUGCGUUUUUUCACGAUCUUUACAUCUAUUAUCAUAAAGUUAGCAUUUUAUUAACGUAUCUUGACAUUAAAUUUCCUUCAAAACUACAUAAACCUAUAAUUAAACUUUGGAAGUCCAUAACUUUGAGCAUAGUUGUCCGAAUUGGAUUUUUUUCUUAUUUCAUGUAACUUUACGAGAUCUACGUUCUUGACAAGUUUCUAAAUUCAGUUUCCCUUGGAAUGUAAUUCUGCAAUUACGGGAUGAGAAAAUUAACUCAUUUUAGAGCAACUUUGAAGAAUGAAGUUAGUCAAAACAGUUACGUAUUUAAAGUUAUGAUUUUUCAAAGACGAUUCAUGUUUAUGGAAGUUUUAAAUAUUCAUAUCGUAAGAUUAUUAUAUCAAAAAUAAAAUAUGAGUUGAUAGAUUGGAGGUGAGAAAAAUUGUGUAUAUGUUAAGUCCCUUAAUUUAAAAUGUCCAUAUUCUCACACAGGUGAUCUAAAUAAAUAACAAAAUUAUGAAUUGAGUUGACAAACAAUGGAGAGAAAUUAAAAAGACAACCGAGACAAAGAAAAUUAUAAUUAGGAUAAUUGUACUCUAUUAUUGUAUAAGUAUCAUUGAUUAUUUCAGUAUAUAUGACUACCAUUUUCAUAUAAGUAAUUAAACAUAACAAUGCCCCUUAUUUAUAUAUAUAAAUAAAGGGCAUAUUAUUCUGAAGAUAGGGAAGGCAAUCUAAUACUACUUAUACUCGAGUACAGCUUCAAACCUCACAAGUUCAUAAUUAUUUUCUGGAAAAUACUUAUCUAUUUCAACCACAUAUGUUAAAGGAUAUCCAUCGCAAGUUUUAGCUUCUAUCACAAGAAUAUAUGACGAUAAUUUUAUCCAAGGAAGAGCAAGGUGUUGGUAACCAGUCACUACACGAAUGAAAACUAAAUUGUCAUUUUCUUUCUUGUUAUGUUCUUCUACAGCUAUCUUUCCAGCUUCUACCACAUUUGGGCUAUGGACAUCCUCAAUCAGUUUAAGAGCAUUUGGAGGUAAUUGUACGCAACUCAUGAUAUUUGGACUGUUGGAUAUGGUUAAUUAGAGAAGAUAUUAGUAGGGUUUUG
rnacentral:lncRNA from 1 species